GGGACACGUGGUAUCCUGUCUGAAUAUGGGGGGACCAUCCUCCAAGGCUAAAUACUCCUGACUGACCGAUAGUGAACCAGUACCGUGAGGGAAAGGCGAAAAGAACCCCGGCGAGGGGAGUGAAAAAGAACCUGAAACCGUGUACGUACAAGCAGUGGGAGCCUCUUAAUGGGGUGACUGCGUACCUUUUGUAUAAUGGGUCAGCGACUUAUAUUCUGUAGCAAGGUUAACCGAAUAGGGGAGCCGAAGGGAAACCGAGUCUUAACUGGGCGUUAAGUUGCAGGGUAUAGACCCGAAACCCGGUGAUCUAGCCAUGGGCAGGUUGAAGGUUGGGUAACACUAACUGGAGGACCGAACCGACUAAUGUUGAAAAAUUAGCGGAUGACUUGUGGCUGGGGGUGAAAGGCCAAUCAAACCGGGAGAUAGCUGGUUCUCCCCGAAAGCUAUUUAGGUAGCGCCUCGUGAAUUCAUCUCCGGGGGUAGAGCACUGUUUCGGCAAGGGGGUCAUCCCGACUUACCAACCCGAUGCAAACUGCGAAUACCGGAGAAUGUUAUCACGGGAGACACACGGCGGGUGCUAACGUCCGUCGUGAAGAGGGAAACAACCCAGACCGCCAGCUAAGGUCCCAAAGUCAUGGUUAAGUGGGAAACGAUGUGGGAAGGCCCAGACAGCCAGGAUGUUGGCUUAGAAGCAGCCAUCAUUUAAAGAAAGCGUAAUAGCUCACUGGUCGAGUCGGCCUGCGCGGAAGAUGUAACGGGGCUAAACCAUGCACCGAAGCUGCGGCAGCGACACUAUGUGUUGUUGGGUAGGGGAGCGUUCUGUAAGCCUGUGAAGGUGUACUGUGAGGUAUGCUGGAGGUAUCAGAAGUGCGAAUGCUGACAUAAGUAACGAUAAAGCGGGUGAAAAGCCCGCUCGCCGGAAGACCAAGGGUUCCUGUCCAACGUUAAUCGGGGCAGGGUGAGUCGACCCCUAAGGCGAGGCCGAAAGGCGUAGUCGAUGGGAAACAGGUUAAUAUUCCUGUACUUGGUGUUACUGCGAAGGGGGGACGGAGAAGGCUAUGUUGGCCGGGCGACGGUUGUCCCGGUUUAAGCGUGUAGGCUGGUUUUCCAGGCAAAUCCGGAAAAUCAAGGCUGAGGCGUGAUGACGAGGCACUACGGUGCUGAAGCGACAAAUGCCCUGCUUCCAGGAAAAGCCUCUAAGCAUCAGGUAACAUCAAAUCGUACCCCAAACCGACACAGGUGGUCAGGUAGAGAAUACCAAGGCGCUUGAGAGAACUCGGGUGAAGGAACUAGGCAAAAUGGUGCCGUAACUUCGGGAGAAGGCACGCUGAUAUGUAGGUGAAGCGACUUGCUCGUGGAGCUGAAAUCAGUCGAAGAUACCAGCUGGCUGCAACUGUUUAUUAAAAACACAGCACUGUGCAAACACGAA
rnacentral:rRNA from 1 species